rnacentral:tRNA from 6 species
GCUUCCAUAGCUCAGUCGGAUAGAGCGUCCGCCUUCUAAGCGGAAGGUCAGAGGUUCGAAUCCUCUUGGAAGCA